UAUUUGAUAUUAUGAGGGAUAAUAUAAUGUAAGAGAUAUUUGAACAUGGAAUUGCUAGUAAAUUUUAUUUAAUAAGUAGAAUUGAAUGAGUUCCUGUUCUUUGUACACACCGCCCGUCGCUAUCUAAGAUGGUAUUAUCUAUGAACAAAUUUAUAAAGUGAAUAGAUAGUACUAGAUCUGAUAUAAGUCGUAACAUGGUUGCUGUUGGAGAACCAUUAGCAGGAUCAUAA
rfam:Nosema bombycis CQ1 unplaced genomic scaffold NBO_749, whole genome shotgun sequence.